rnacentral:lncRNA from 1 species
UAUAUAUAUAUAUAUAUAGUCUGGCUACUAUACUCUUAUGAGUACAAUCAUUCUCGUAUUCAUAUUUUAUAAUUUUUCGAUAUCAUUACCUUACGAUCAAAAGGUCAAAAAAUUGACAAUUUUUAACGGCCGGUAUGGAAUAUUUGCUAGUUUAACGGUAUAAAAGAAUCGAAAUCAGUUGAAUUUUUGAUAAAAAAUUCUAUUCACUACAUAGAUAAAAGAUCAAUAACUCUGAUCUUAAAUUAAAGGAUCCGAUCAUUCAUUUUUAAGACGUCGUUCGAUUUUGACGAUUCAUUUUAUAUCCGUUUGAUGAAUUUUUUAAUAAUUUUGAAAAAUUACGAAAUUUAUUUUCUAGAAGUUUCAAAUACUCUAGAUCAUAUUUAACGGAAUGGAUCGUCGAUUCGGAAGCUCCAUCAUUGAAAACAACUUAUGAGUACGAAGAGCUCUAUACUCAUAAGACUAUAAUAGCCCAAGCAUAUAUAUAUAUAUACCGUUAGAUCUACUCCUCGGAUUAUUUUCAACUAUUAGAUUAUACUAUUCAACCAACCAUCCACUCAACCCUAGGAGACCCAUAUUAUCCUAACCGCAUAUUUUUUAAUCUAAUGGCUAAAAAUCUAUAAGCACCAAUAACUUGAUACUUUUAAAAGCAUAGAAGCUCAAUUAUAUAUAUAUAUAUUCUCGCCACCCACUGUAUUCCUUUUCACUAUCGUACCUCUUCUCCCGCCCUCUACAGCAACAGCCUAUCCUCACCACAACACACUCUCUCUCUUCGCCGUCCUCAAAUUUUGUGACAUCCUCGUCGUUGUCGCCAUUCACGACCACAUCCUCCAUCACAGCUUCACCUCCGCAAUCUAUGCUAUAUCUGAGUUUGCGUCGCCACCGCUAGUGUUGGCGAAGGUAUGGGUUUGAUACGAGAGAGGAGUGCGGCGUCGAUGUUGUGGCGGUGGAGGAGGAGAAGGGAGAGGAAGCAUGAGGAAAAAAAGAGGCAAGGACAACGAGAAUAAAUGAAACAAAAAGAGAGCAGAAAAAUAAACGAGAGAUAAAUGGAGAGAAAGAAAAAUAAAAAUAAUUUAGUAUGUUUACUGAAAAUGCAGACUUAAUUUAUAAAAUUAGAAAAAAUAAUUUAUUUUUGAAAAAAUCCAAAACUAGUAAAAUUUUUGUGCAUAAAGGUCUAAAAUAUCUGACCAUCAAAGUUAUAAGAUUUAUCAUAAAUGAUUCCUUAAUCCUAUUUGAGAAGUGAAUGAAUUAUUUUAGAGAUAAACUAAUAGAAUAAUUAGUUUUAAAAAUUAAAUUUUUUUAAUUGUUAGGACCUAAGUUAAGAAGAACUAAAUUAUGCCAUCAAGGAUUGUCCACACAUUUUUACCUAUUCUUAAAUUCUCACCGUAAUAGUUAUUAUCAAAUUACUAAUUUAAAAUUGAAAACAUUUUUUUGCCCACUAACAAAAGUUUUUAUAAGUGUUCAUACCAUUUAAUGCAUCAUUUUUUUAUCAGAAUUUUAUGUCUUUAUUAUUUUUUCUAAAAAUAAUACUAUUCUUCUUUUAUGUUAUAUAAGCAAUGCUAAUAAUUCAUUCAAAAAUAAAUAUAAAUAGCCGGCCGUAUGUAAAGCAAGUGGCAAAAAAUUUAAAGGUCAAUAUUCAAUGUUUCAAAUUCGAAACUUAAUUGCUUUAUGUUGCAAGCUAGAUUUAUAUUUAAAAACUAUAAGUAAAAUAAAUAGUAUACUAUUUUUCUUUCAUAAAAAAAAGAAGUGAACGUAAAUAUGACAGUCUCACCGUCAAGGCGCCGAAGGAUUCAUUAUUUGUACUAGUUUAUCACACUUUGUUAUGCCAAAAUUUAUUAAGAAAAAUUAAGUAAAUAUAAGAUUUGCACUCAAAUUGUGACUGCACAUUAAUAAAAAAAUUUUAUGCCGAUAUAUUGGUAAAAUACUUAAUAAACUAACUCUUUAUUUGAUUUCGGACUCCAUUAAAACGGAAAAGGAAAUGUUUUUUUUUUUUUUUUUUUUUUCUCUUUUCCCUUCUCAAAACUUUUGAGUGUAUGUAUAUUUAUGUCCAUUUAUAUAUAUUUAUGGUUGUACGAUCAUGGGUUUGAGUUUCAAAACUUUAAGCAAAGACAGAGAAACAAGCUGUCAAACCCCUACUACCUAAUAAAUGUUACUUUCAUCCCAUUAAUUUACAGGCCCUUGUUAUUUAUUUUCUGUUUCAUUUACCUAUAUUUCGUCUCGGUAAUUGCCACGGAAUUUAAUUACAGGAAAAGGAUAUUUAGCGGAAGAAUUGGCCAGUUGGCGUCCAUCCAUCUAUUUAUUUGAGUAAUGAUAAUAAUUUUUUACUGCCGGGGGUCCUCGUUGCAGCUUCAAGCUGAUCGGCUGUUAUUCACGGAAUCUGCUCUCCUCUUCUUUUUUUUGCUGUUUAUUAUUAUUAUUAUUAUUAUUAUUAUUUUUAACAUUAGUAAAGGAGGAGCCUCGUCAUCGUGCGACUAUAUUAUAUCUGUGGGAGGGUAAUUUUGGGGGAAAGGAGGGGCGUAUAUGUCAGCUGAAAAGAGAGGAAGUAGAACAGUAGAAAGAACGAGUCGGGCAGGUUGAGAGGAGGAAGAGGAACCCGCUCUUUCGUAAUUUUCUUUGUUAGUUGUCUCCUCCUCCGUCCCGGUGGCGGCGGCAGCAGCAGCAGCAGCAGCAGCAGCACGAAGAGUCUCUAAGAGAGAGAGAGAGAGAGAGAGAGAGAGAGAGAGAGAAGCGAGCGGAGCGAAAGAAUGGAGAUGUCUCUUUUAUCCUCUUUUCCAUUUUGAGGGAGACUCGUCUGUUAGCUCGUUACCUCAGCAACCCAAUUCUCACGAUCCCACCCAUCGUAGCCCACGAGUUCGCUCCCUCUUGUUGUUUUUUUUUUUAAAAAAAAAAAUUUAAAUUUUUAUUUGCCCUUUUUUUCGUUGGGUGAUGACCAGUGAAGUGGUUCAGCUCGGUCCUGCUCUUCAUUCUAAUUAGUAUACAUUAUAGAGGACGGCGUAGUUGCUUCUCUCUUCUCUCUUCUCUAUAAUCUAUAUAUGCAUGGAAGGGAGGGAGAGCGUGGUGAUGAUGUCGGGGCCCGAAGGUGGCGGCAGCGGAGCUAAAGCAGCAGCAGCAGCAGCAGCAGUAGGUGACGCCGGAGGAGGAGCGACGAAGGAGUCAGCAUCCUCGACUCCCUCGCCGUCUCCGUCUCCCACCCCGUCCCCAUCCCCGCAAGCAGCAGCUCCCGCCGAGGUUAGUGGUGGCGGCGGUAUUGGUGUUGGUGUUGGUGUUGGGAGCGGAGGAGCGGGAGUUCCCGCGGCCGCUCCAAUACCGUGGCCUGCCACGGGUGUGGGCGUGGGCGGUAUGGGUAUCUACGAGGAGCUGGCGAGAAAGAAGAGGGGGAGGCCGAAGAAGUACGCGCCGGACGAGAUGGAGGUGGAUAUGGAGAUGGAGAUGGAGACGGAGACUGAGACGGAGAUGGGAAUGGGAAUGGGAAUGGGGCUGGCGCUGUCCCCCUCCUCCGCACCCUCCUCUUUCGCCCUCGUCCAUCACUCCUCCCACUUGUCAGCCAAACGGAGUAGAGGGCGGCCACGCGGCUCCGGCAGACGCCAGCUCCUCGCCACUCUUGGUCUGUCCGCCUUCUUCUUCCUUCUUUCUCCUGCUACUCCUCCUCAUCCUGACCUUCGCCGCCCGCACUUUUUCUUCUUUCUUCCUUUCGGAAAUGAAUAUUUUUUUUCGUUUUCACUUUUUUUAUUUUUUCUUUUUUUUUGUUCGGGACGCGGGAUUUAUAUAUUGAAGACUGUUCUAAGCUGGUCUCUGCUUAGUGGCUUCACUGUGGCAGUGUGGCCUCCUACUUGAUCUAUAUAUUCCUAGGAUAAGGAUACAAAAAAAAAAGAAAAAAGAAAAAAGAAAAAAGAAAAAAUAAAAGAAAAUAUAAAUAGAAGAAAGUGUCCUUUUUUCCCCUUAAUUACUCGUACGGUGGCUCUAGAUCUCACUUACAUAUAUAGCCCGGCCAAAGCAGCUCCCAUGAGGCUUUGUUUGAACUCCUACUUUGAGGUGUUCUCGGUCCUGGUAGUUGUUGGACAAAACCUGUCACCGCUUCUUUGCUAGGUGACUUAGGAAAACGAUUUGCGUCGAGUGUUCUCUUAUGUCUUCUUCCUCGACCCGACUCCCAACAACACAUGCCUUAGUGGGCUCCAACAUGUAUUUCUGUCCGGCUAACAUGUAUACUUAUUCUCUUUUGACAUUAUUGAGCUUUCAAUUUGUGAAGGUGAGUGGUUUGCAUUCUCCGCCGGAGGGAGUUUUACACCACAUGUUGUAACCAUAGCUACGGGGGAGGUAAAUCUGCUGCUAAUACUUCCAUUCUGAACUUCUUAAUACAUACAUACUGCUUUUAUUAUAGCACUGCAUUUUUUGAUUACAUGUUGCUGACUUAACGUUGUUCCAUUCUAGGAUGUUGCGGCACGUAUACUGUCCUUCUCCCAAAAGGGCCCACGAGCUAUUUGCAUUCUUUCUGCAAAUGGGGCUAUUUCGAAUGUCACCUUACGCCAGCCAGGUUCUUCUGGUGGCACCUUGACUUACGAGGCAUGAACUGCUGCCUCCCUCAAUAAAUCUCGUAUACUGCCUAAAGCUUUUAGUUUUGCAUGUACUGAUCAGAUUGACUUUCUCAAUCAGAUAGCUUGUUUCAUUGAUGUAUGAUUUUUUUUUUUUUUUAAAUUUUCUUCCGCUCCUUCGGACAAUGAAACAUUUCAGCUCCUAAAGGAGCUUGUGAUUCUAAUGGUGCCUGUUUCUUGCCUUCCACUGGCUGUAUUUUCAACAUCAAAAUGCUAUAGAUUAUAUUCGUAGUUUAGAAUUUUAUGUAUGAAAUUUGUACAAGCAUGCUAUGUUAGUUUUCGUAUAAAUCGAAGUGCAUUUAGUCAUGACGCACAGAGAUAAUGUUUAUCUUUUCGAGAUGUUUCCAAGGAACUACUGUGAAAUCCAACAAAAUUCAACUGUUACUAGCUUUGUUGUCUAAAUUAUAGGGUAGGGUUGAGAACUGCUUGGAUUAGUGCACCACAUCAGCUAGUAAGCAACAAAAUAACAUAUAUCAGCCAAUAGGUAGCAAGAAUGUGUUUCUUUCAAUUUAGUGUGUUUUGUUAACAGCCUACGUUUUACUAAUCAAUUUGUUUCCAUGUUGAUGUUUUUCCAGUUAAAAUUGCUAGUCACCUCUAUUUUCCCACUCUGUUGUUAAGUGAGCAGCUAAAUUCUUGCAGAGGAAAUUUUACUUAGCUCGCCAUCCUAUUUCUUCAUAUUUACUCGAAACUCGCUUUUGUGUUCCUACCUACAUAGAGAUUUAUAGUAGGGUUUUCGCCUCUCCUUUCUAGAAGAUAUUGCGAACAACCAAAAGUUUGCUGAACUCUUUUCUCUAUAUUGAUUGCUUCUUUUAUUCUUCAACACAAUGAUUUUAGAAGACAAAAAAUUACUUAGAGCUGUGCUAUAUACGUCCUAGUUACUUAAUGGACCAUUUCACGGUGUAUAUGUCGUCCAAGAUUUUUUGCAGGAAAAUGUUGAAGAGUGAUGAACUGGAGAAGCAAUUGAUAGCCUAUAUUUUGAAUACCUCAGUUUGCAAGUCGCGUUUUACAAAAAGGGUUUAUCAAGGGGCUUGCAGUGAAACCAAAAAAGCUCAAGGGGCUUGCGGUGAAGCCAAAAAAGCUCAAGGGGCUUGCAAUGAAACCAAAAAGCUAUAUUGUGGUUAAAAGAUUACCUACGGGAUCAAUAAGAUGUCUAUUAUUUUAAGGGCUACAUAGUCAAAAUUAAACCCUUUUUUUUGGUAGAACAAGUCGGUAGUGGUGUAUUCAACAGUUAAUUAACUGAUCCAUUAACUGUUCUUUCGGCAAUACAUAAUCCAACAGCUUUUAGUUGUCCACUCAUUUUCUUUUCAUUUCUUUAGGUUUGUUGUCCUCGGUUUGGUGCUUCAUUUGUACCAUUUUUAAUGCAGGGACGUUUUGAGAUUUUAUCGUUGUCGGGGUCCUUCGCGAUCAGUGAGAAUGGUGGUGUUCGCAGCAGAACUGGUGGUAUUAGUGUCUCACUUGCUGGACCUGAUGGACGUGUCGUUGGUGGGGGAGUUGCUGGGUUGUUGCUUGCGGCUAGUCCAAUUCAGGUAACAGUAGAAUGUGCUCCUUCAUACAGAAAUGUUUAAGGCUAUUGGUCAAUUCUGAACGGCACAUCAAUUGACCCUGAAAAUUUCUUGCAUUGCAUUUGCAUGUAUUUACGUUUAGGUUUGUUUAGCCAUAUUUGCAUAUAUUUGCAGAUAUGUCAUGAGAACCCCUUUUUCCGCUUGACACUUAUACGUUAAUAAUAAUCUACAAACAGAUGCAUCUGUUGUAUAGGUUUUUUUCGGUUCUAGCUAUGCAUUUAAGAAAAUCAUAGGUGUAGAUCAGCUUGAUCACUGCACGCGUCUUGUUAGAAAACACAUGCAUUCUACUUCCCUGCUAUCGUUUGUUUGGGUCCACCUCUUUAGUGAGACCCUGUUUGCAUAAGUUAAUUGGUGAUAGUGAUACUUGUGAUGGAUGAGGACCUUUUCUUAUUUAACUUUGGUAAUUUGAUGUAAGAUUACUCAUGAUUUCAUUGGAUGCCACUAACAGGAUGAUUUAUCAUAAUGUGGAAAAUUGAACUUCAUUUCCUUCUUACUUUUAGACAUAUUUUCCAUGCCAUUCAAAAACCAAUUAUCAAAUGCCCCUUGAGCAAAUACGAAGAGUUUAAGUUAGAUAAGUUAUUCUAACAUCUAGAAAGGCCCUAAGAAUAAGAAACGCAUGCCAAAGUAAUUCUCAUCUAUGGGAAUCUGCAAUAUCGGGGGCUAAUCCUCACAUUAUUGACGCUAAUUAGCCAUCAUCUGAUCCUAGAAGGAAAGGGAGAUAACUUAUGAUGAGUUGAUGUAAGCACUAUAUGCAGCAUGUUUUGAGUAACUAUGGUAUUUAAUCCUGUACUAUCUUACAUACUUUAACAGAUUGUUGUGGGGAGUUUCCUGCCCAAUGUAUUCAAGGAGCAUAAAAGAAGGGCUAACCAGGAAUCAACUUUCUCUCCAGUUCCAGCUAGUGGUGGUGUAUUAACAUCUGCAAAGCCUAUAUCUCAAGCAACUCCUCCCGAUGAUGGCUGUAAGAACCUGACGUCAAGUCUACCUGCAGGCCAAGUAUGUGGAGGUGCCGAGAACAGCAGCAUGACCGACCGACCACCGAACCCAAACCCAACUCCUUUCAAGGUGGCGGGCUGGCCUGCCGACCUGCAGUCGGCAGAGCACAAGCCUUCCCCUGAUAUUAAUGUAUGCUUAUCUGGGGAAUAGGCGUUUACCGAGAUAGAACUUUCUGUAGGUGUCUGUCUGACUUUAUCAUGACUGAUCUAACCCGUUGAAUAUGUGAUAGCUUCUCUGUUGGUAGUUCGGAGCAAUGAGUUGAGGACACUCCUCAAGGGUCUAAAAUCUGAUCAUCUAAUUAUUGGGCUGCUUAGGUGGUCGCGUAGUUCUGAUUUGGUAUCUGUAACAGUAGACCUUUAACACCUGCGGGGUUUAAUUUCUGUUUUUACGGUCGUAAUUGUGAUAUUCUCUCUGCUUGUUAUCUAAUGACUAGUGAUGACUACUCUUGUCGGAGGGGCCUAGUGUUUUAUGAAUGGGGCUUCUACUCUAGAGGGGAAAGCUUUGUGAGCGGAACGAAUUUGAAUGUCUUUAAUGUGAAUUUGAGUUGAUUUCAUCGUGAUGUUUGCAGGGAUCAAUCUCUGCUUUAUUUUUCAUUAUCGACUAAAGCUCUACUAGUUGAAUGACUUUAUAAUUUUUCUGGCAUUGAGCGUCAGCGUGGGCAUGUAAAAAUUAGGCCACUGGAUCAGCCAUAAUUAUGGCUUGCCUUUUAUUAUUUCACUGCAUGCGGUGGAUCUAAGUAAAUAAUCAGAGAACAUAGUCACAGAGAUGGGCUGCGUAAUUUUUAUUUAAUUAUGUGCCUGUCAUCUUUUAUAGCACUCCAAAGAUGUUGAAAUGUAGCAGUGCCAGCAUUUUAGACCGAGUUAGUCGUUGAGCAUAGAGGUAUGCUUGUAUCCCAAGCGACGGCAAAUGGGAAAGUUGGGAAGGUACGCGAGACAGGAUAUCGUAAAAUCUUUGGACUCCCCCGGAGACAAGGGACGGAUUUUGGCCACCGAACAAAAUGACAGAAUUGUUGAGAAGAUAAAUUCCGGGACUGAAAGAUGGGACCGACGCACCAAGGUCCAUGGCCCACCAGUGGAAAGAGAGACCACACGUGGCACGAGGCGAGGACGUGCCGAACCCUUCUACCACCUUCCGGUCGUCUCCAAACGCCAGCAGCCAAGCCACUCUUUAAAUUCCUCUCCACUGCCAAGAGAGGGAGGUGUGGUAGGAGGAAUUCGAGAUCGAGAUCCAGAGCGAGAUCGAGACUUUGAAAUCCAAGUCCUAAGUCCAUAUCUAUAUUCAUAUCGAUAUUGAGCUAGCUAGUUGUGAUCGAUGGAGACGAGGGCGGUGCGCAGGGACGAGGAAGGGAAGAAGAAAGCGGAGAGGGUGGUGGUGGCGGCCGUGCCGAGGACGCGGAAGCCGGAGACGAUGCGCUACGUGGAGAAGAAACUGGUGGACAAGGGCCUCCAGCGCAUGGACCGCCACCCUGUCGACGGCCUCGGCGGCCUCGGCGCCCCUCCCCCCAAGUCCGGCCACGGCGGCAAGUUCACCUGGGAGGGCCCCGAAGACCCCGCCGAAGCCGAGCUCGACCCCGCCCCGCCCGCCCUCGACCCCCGCGACCCCAACUACGACGACGACCAGGAACAGCUCGAGAAGGGGCGGGGACGAAGAGGCGGAGGCGGAGGCGGAGGCGGGGCGGCUGAAGACGACGACGACGACGACGAGGCCGCGGAGGAGAAGAUCGUGGGGGAGGUGGAGGUGGCCAAAGUGGCGGAGGCGAGGGAAGGGGUCUCCAGGAUCGAAAUACUACCACCUCUGCAGCUGCAGCCCUGAGUAGUGAACGCCCACCCUCUUCCUGUCUUUGUGCUUUUGUUCUGCAUCUGCGGUCUGCUUCUGAAUCUGAAUCUGAUGAUGAUGAAUAAAGGGUGGUGCUGCUGACUAAGCUUGAUUAAUAAUUACAUUUUACUUAGCAUAUAAUUUUAGCUGAUGUAAAUUCUCAUGCAUGACAUGCCUUGCAUGUACGAAAUUUAACCUUGUACGAGGCGUAGGUGCUAAUGUUUCUGGCUGUUUCUUUGCACAUGAGAACCGCGCUGCCACGAUCUCCAACUAUUUUCCCUCCAAAUGAUUAACUGAUUACUGGAGUAACCUCCAAUGUCCGAGUAAACAUGGCGCGGAGAGCUGUGCAUAGUUCUUUCUUCUUCGUUAAAAUCUCCGCUCCACAGCUGCAACUGCAAUUAGGAGUCGUUUAGUACCUUAGUAGAGCAUGUAGAGGAGUAGUUAGGGAUGUAAAACGAGCAAGCACCCUGUGGGAGGCCCGGCCCGGCAGGGCUUCGGGCUGGUUGCAGCACGACAUGGGUGUUGUAGCCCCUCGCCCGGCCCGGCCCGGCCCGGUCUGACAAGAACACUCCCGCUGUGGUGGGCCUCAAUCUGUAGGGCCGAUAGCCCGGCACGGCUUGAAACGGACCUGGAUGGUGUUGUGCUAAGCAGAGCCCGUGACCCACGGCACGGCCCACAUGGGCCGGGCCUGCCGGGUCAGUGCGGCCGAAACCCAAUAGCCCAGCAGAUUUUGGGAGGAGUGGUUUUGGGUCCAAUGGAUUAAAGAACUUUGGUCCAUUGGAUCAAAAAUUAUUUUUUUUCAAAAAUAAUAAUAAUAAUAUAUGUUUUUAAAAAUUUUAAAACUUUGUUAUUUUAUAAUUUUUUUUAUAAAGGUUUACAUUUUUUUAAUCAAAAAAUAUAUAUUGUUCUUAUAAUUUUACAUUUUUUUAAAAAAAAUUAAAAAAUAAAAAUUUAAGUGGCUAGUUCAGAGCAAAGCCCGGCCCGGUCUGGCCCGGAUAGGGUUUAGGGUCAGCUCCUAGCCUGUUUCCGCCUGACUAAUAUGGGCCGUGUUGGUCCCAUGCCGCCCACAAUAAACCAUUAGGACUAGUGGAGAUUGCAUUGCAGUAGAGUUUUAAAUUCAUAUCUUGUUUGAUAUAGCUUGUGGUAAUUUAAAUUGUGUAAGAAAGCUUAAUUGUAAUAAUAAUUAAAAAUAUAUUCAAAUUAGUCAUUUUAACUGCUCUAAUUUAAUGGGGUAGCUUUUCAAAGGAUAAAUUUAAUUUUUAAUUAUUUUUAGAUAAAAACUAUAUUUUAUUAGAGUGAGGUAUAUUUAUCAUUAUAUAUAGAGAGGGAGAGAGAGCACGCUAGGUUGGUAUAUUAUCGGUAGCAUAGAAACUUUCGUGUUACCAAAUUAUUUUCAAUCUUGCAAUUUCUAAACCAACAACGGCUCAGUUAGAUUUGAUCUACACUAUUGAAAAUAUUUAAAAACUAAAUUUUAUAAUUUUUUGACAUUAUCUAGCUAGCGGUGGUCUAAAAAUUGACAAUUUUGAGAGUAGAUGUGAUACAUUUUUGUAAAUUUAACAGUGUAAAAUAAUUCAAAUGUAAUAAAAAUUUUAUAGAUUUUUUUUUACUAUUUAGAGUAUGAUUAGUAUUUUUGAUUUUAAAUGCAAGUCUUUUAUCAUUAUUUUUUAUGAUAUUUUUAUUUUCAGUCGUUUAUUUUUAAACUAUUCGUUUGAUAUGUAAAUAAUGUUGAAAAUUUAUGAAAUUUAGUUUUCAAAUACUUUUAAUAGUGUAGAUUAAGUGUAACGGAGCCGAUAAUAGAUUUGAAAGCUGCAUCAUUGAAAACAAGCUAUUAAACUUUCAGAAGCAUAAGAAAUUGGUGCUUCCAACUUUUUGGUCCUUCAAUCAACCCUUCUGGCAAUUUCUGACUUUUGGAUUAAUAUUAUUAUUCUAGGAGGAUCACUCAACCCUGGGGGUGGGGUGGGGGGGACAAUAGGGGACUGCGCUAUCGUCCCGACCCUAUAAUCCUUAAUCCAAGGGUCAAAAAAUUACGAGCACAAACUUCUUUAUACUUUUAAAAGCAUAGUAAUUCUACAGUAUAUAGAGAGAGAGUCUAACCUUUUGUUGGCACGGAGCUUUCUCGUUAACAAUUUAGUUUCGAUAAUGGGAUGUUGGAAUCGACAAACUAUUUUGUUAGACAUGGAUAGAUACUUCCAAUAAGUAGAUCAAGUAUAACAAAACCGAUCAUCGAUUUAAAUGCCACAUUAUCAAAAAUAAAACUACUAAGUAACGGCAGCAAAAAAUUGACAUUAGUAGCCUGAAAGAAAAAAAAAAGGCAAGAAUACCAGCAGACAUCUGUCUAUUCUCUAAUUCACCUCACUUGACCCGAUAGUACCUAUUUUGAUAAGAUCUUACAUAUGGACAGUUCCUCAAUAUCUUGCUCAUUUGCAAGAGACUCUGUCUAUUAUAUUUUUAUGAGUAUAAUUUUUUCGUACUUAUAAAUUGUUUUCGAUAAUAAAGUUUUCAAAUCGAAUAUCUAUAACGUUAAACAUGAUUUAGAGCAUUUGAAACUUCUAAAAUAAAAUUUUAUAUUUUUUCAAUAUCAUUUAUCUUACGAUCAAAAAAUUUCAGAAUUGAUAAUUUUUAACAAUUGGUAUGGGAUAUAUGCUAAUUUUACAGUGUAAAAGAAUUGAAAUUGAUUGAACUUUUAAUAAAAACUUUUAUUUACUAUUUAGAUAAGGAUCAAUAACUUUGAUCUUAAAUUGAAGGAUCGGAUUAUCUAUUUUUAGAAUGUCGUUCAGUUUUGACCGUUAAUUUUAUCUCCGCUCGAUAGAUUUUAUUAUAAUUUUAAAAAAUUUUAAAAUUUAAUUUUUAAAAAUUUUAAAUAUUUUAGAUCAUAUUUAACAGUGCGAAUCGUCGAUUCGAAAACUUAAUCAUUGAAAAUAACUUAUGAAUAUAAAAAGUUCUCUAUACUCAUAAGAGUUUAAUAGCCCAUACUCUCUCUCUAUAUAGAACUAGACCAUACUCUCUCUCUAUCAAUAGUACCAAGUUGUUGGUGCUAUUAAGUUUUCAGCCCUUGGAUAAAGAAAUGUAUGGUUAGGAUAAUAUGGGCUCCCUAGGGUUGAGUGAGUUGUUGUUUGAAUAGUAUAAUCAAACGGGUGAAAAUAGUCAAAGGGUUAAAUCUAACGGCGGAAAACUCAGUAGCACCAAGUAUUUGGUGCUAUCCAUAGUAUCCCAGCCGGACUCCUCUAUAUACAUAGAAUUGAGUUUCUAUGCUAUUAAUAGUAUUUGGAUUUUUUUUUUACUGUACACUUUUUAACCUUUAGAUGAAUAAUUGUAGGAUUAGGAUAAUAGUGGUACUCUAGGGUUGAGCGUGUGGUUGGUACAAUAGAAUAAUCUAAAGAGUGGAAUUAGUUAAAAAAAAUUAAAUCUAACGGUAAAAAACUUGGAAACACCAAAUGAUUGGUGCUUUUAAAAACACCAUAAUCAGACUAUAUAUAUAUAUAUAGAGUGAGGCUACUAUACUAUCGGAAGCACGGAGCCUUCCGUAUAUAUAUAUAUAGAGUAAGGCUACUAUGCUAUCGGAAGCACGGAGCCUUCCGUGCUUCCAGCUCGUUUUCGAUGUUGCGACUUUCGAAUCGUCGAUCGGCUCCGUUAAACUUGAUCUAGAGUAUUUGGAGUACCUAGAAAAUAAAUUUUAUUGUUUUUCGAUAUCAUUUGCCUAGUGAUCGAAUGGGCUCAAAAUCAACAAAUUUCAAUGGCCAUAGUGAGCCGUUUGCACGUUUAACGGUGUAGAAAUAUCCAAAUCACGUGAAAUUUUGAUAGAAAAUUCUUUAUACUAUAUAAAACAAGA